rnacentral:rRNA from 1 species
AUGCAAGUCGAGCGGACAGAAGGGAGCUUGCUCCCGGAUGUUAGCGGCGGACGGGUGAGUAACACGUGGGUAACCUGCCUGUAAGACUGGGAUAACUCCGGGAAACCGGAGCUAAUACCGGAUAGUUCCUUGAACCGCAUGGUUCAAGGAUGAAAGACGGUUUCGGCUGUCACUUACAGAUGGACCCGCGGCGCAUUAGCUAGUUGGUGAGGUAACGGCUCACCAAGGCGACGAUGCGUAGCCGACCUGAGAGGGUGAUCGGCCACACUGGGACUGAGACACGGCCCAGACUCCUACGGGAGGCAGCAGUAGGGAAUCUUCCGCAAUGGACGAAAGUCUGACGGAGCAACGCCGCGUGAGUGAUGAAGGUUUUCGGAUCGUAAAGCUCUGUUGUUAGGGAAGAACAAGUGCAAGAGUAACUGCUUGCACCUUGACGGUACCUAACCAGAAAGCCACGGCUAACUACGUGCCAGCAGCCGCGGUAAUACGUAGGUGGCAAGCGUUGUCCGGAAUUAUUGGGCGUAAAGGGCUCGCAGGCGGUUUCUUAAGUCUGAUGUGAAAGCCCCCGGCUCAACCGGGGAGGGUCAUUGGAAACUGGGAAACUUGAGUGCAGAAGAGGAGAGUGGAAUUCCACGUGUAGCGGUGAAAUGCGUAGAGAUGUGGAGGAACACCAGUGGCGAAGGCGACUCUCUGGUCUGUAACUGACGCUGAGGAGCGAAAGCGUGGGGAGCGAACAGGAUUAGAUACCCUGGUAGUCCACGCCGUAAACGAUGAGUGCUAAGUGUUAAGGGGGUUUCCGCCCCUUAGUGCUGCAGCUAACGCAUUAAGCACUCCGCCUGGGGGAGUACGGUCGCAAGACUGAAACUCAAAGGAAUUGACGGGGGCCCGCACAAGCGGUGGAGCAUGUGGUUUAAUUCGAAGCAACGCGAAGAACCUUACCAGGUCUUGACAUCCUCUGACACCCUAGAGAUAGGGCUUUUCCCUUUCGGGGACCAGAGUGACAGUGGUGCAUGGUUGUCGUCAGCCUCCGGUGUCGUGAGAAUGUUGGGGUAAGUCCCGCAACGAGCGCACCCUGAUCUAAGUUGCAAGCAUUCAGUGGCACCUUCUAGGU